rnacentral:rRNA from 1 species
UAGAGAGAGACAUGCGCGCAUAUCAAUAAGCGGAGGAAAAGAAACUAACUAGGAUUCCCUCAGUAACGGCGAGUGAAGCGGGAGGAGCUCAAAUUUGAAAUCUUCAAGGUUCUACCUUGACGAAUUGUAGUUUAAAGAAGUGUUUUCUGUUGGAAUUUUGGUAAAAGUUCUUUGGAAAUAGGACAUCAUAAGAGGGUGAGAGUCCCGUAUUUGAUCCAUUCCUUCUAGCUUUGUGAUACACUUUCAAAGAGUCGGAUUGUUUGGGAAUGCAGUCCAAAAUGGGUGGUAAAUUUCAUCUAAAGCUAAAUAUUGGCGAGAGACCGAUAGCGAACAAGUACCGUGAGGGAAAGAUGAAAAGAACUUUGAAAAGAGAGUUAAACAGUACGUGAAAUUGUCAAAAGGGAAGCGUUUGACACCAGUGUUGUUUUCUCGAAAAUCAAUUAAAAAGAUGCAGGAUUUUGCUGUUGUAUUGACUUUAUCAGCUUUCUGCACUUUUUUCUUGUCUUUUUUAAUGCACUUUUCGUUUAACAAGUCAACAUCAAUUUCUUUUGUUGUAAAAGGGUCAUUGGAAGGUGGCUUUCUUUCGGAGAAAGUGUUUAUAGCCUUUGGCCUCUGCAAUCGGAGAGAUUGAGGUCUGCAGCGUAGAUCCUUCGGGGUUAGAUGCAUUUGUGCUAAGUUAUAGCCUUUCAUAGACAACUUGUUGACUAUGAUCAGUCAUGUAGCUUACUCGCUUAUGUCAUUUUACCUACGCUUAGGAUGUUGACAGCAGUAUAGACUGU